UACAGAGGUCCCAAGCGUUACUGAGAAUCACUGGGCUUAAAGGGUGCGUAGGUGGUCCGUUAAGUCAGUUGUGAAAUCCCCAGGCUUAACCUGGGAACUGCAUUCGAGACUGCAUUGCUAGAGUAUGGGAGAGGGAAGUGGAAUUUCCGGUGUAGCGGUGAAAUGCGUAGAUAUCGGAAGGAACAUCAGUGGCGAAAGCGACUUCCUGGACCAAUACUGACGCUCAUGUGCGAAAGCGUGGGGAGCAAACAGG
rnacentral:rRNA from 1 species